rnacentral:lncRNA from 1 species
AAACUAUCCAUCUUAUAGAUAUACUGUCAUUUAAUUUUUUCACACACCCAUAAUUUCUUUACAAGUUUGAGUGCUUGAAGAUCGAAGACGGCCGAAUAGUUCGAAGGUGGUGUCAAGAAGAUCAACAUGGAGAAAUUUUUGUAGAAUUCGAAGAAGGUAAUUUUUAAAACUUCUAUUUAUUUUAUUAAUUCUACAAAAUUAUUACAUUCUUGUUGAUCCACAAUUCAUUAAAUCAUAUUUUUCCAACAAAAGUGUAUCCCGCCAGAAUGUUUCAACUUAUUUUUCACAAACUUUGAUAGUAUUGAUAUAGAAUUGGUUUCUGUAUUCUAGUAAAUCCGAUAAUAGUUUUUGAAUUCUUUACUAUAAUUUAUUCUCCGAUAUUUUAACCAUUAACUCGAAGAACAAGGAAGAAUAUUUUCCUCAAAAAAUUAAUCAAAAUGACUAAAUUGCAUAGAACAGAACGAAAUCACAACCGAUCAAGAUCAUGCGUGCGCAUGAAAUCCAACCGCUGCAAAAAUCUAUGAAUCCGAACUCGCGGCAGAUUCUUGGUCCUAAUACGGGUCCCACAUAGCGGAUUUUCAAGAAAAAACGAUGGUGGCAUGGCGCCUCCUCAGGAUUUUCGCGGCCUAACGCCUACGGUUUCGCUUUCUCAUUCUUUUCAUUUAAGCUUCCAAAACGUCGACGUCUUAUCACCUCACCGGUUCAAAUUUUUCUUGAUUCCAAAGUAAAACCCCUUAGCUUUUUGUAAAGGUAAAGAUGUCUGGGCUUCUAGUUCAAAGGUCAGUAAAAACAUAUGCGUAUACAAGAAUAUAAACGAUUUUUUUGGGGAAGUUCUUGUAAGUUUUGAGGUUUAGGAUAAAGUUUAUUCGAUUCUUAAGUUCGGAUAAAUAGG